CCCUACUGACUCCUGUUUGCGCUCUCCUCCCUCUCAGUUCCUCUUUCUCCUCUACUGAAACCACAAUCUUCCUCUCCUCGGCGCGCUCCCAUGUCUCUCGCCAUGGAGCCCACAAACUAAGCAAGUAGUGACGGUCACAAGACUCAAACAUGGCGGAUGCGUACUGGAGGUAUAAUGACGGCUAGCAACCGCCGCCGUCGGCGAUGAAUAUAGCCGUCGGAAAGCGUCCUCGCUCCGGUUACGUGACAGAGAUGGAUCUACGGCCACCACCGCCAACCACGCCGCUGGGAAGAUCUUAGAUUGAAAACUGGAACUUUGUACGAGGUUUCAUGAAUAUAGGAAGUGUGCUUGCUCACUCUCUGAGUGUUUCGUUGAGGGGUGAACACGGUCAAGGUUUUUCAACAAGAAAAUUAACCUGCAAAUUAAAUUGAGGUAUGAAUGAGUUUAUCCAACUUUAAUUAUUUUGGUCUGCGUUUCCUUUUUUUUUUUUUUUUUUUUGAAAUUAGAUAUUUUUU